rfam:Facklamia hominis CCTG 36813 genomic scaffold supercont1.1, whole genome shotgun sequence.
UAAUGUAGUGUUAAACGACCUAAGACAGUAAGUGGCUAAGCCUUAAUUUCUUACCGAGGAAGUUCCAAUUAUUAGGAAUUUAUCUCUAUGUCUGGGUGGCAUAGAGAUUUUUUAUUAAAUCU